ACAUGCCCACAACAUAGAAUUAAUGCAUUGUAUCCCAUUAGAACUUUGCAGUUAAGUGCGCUUAGGCUAGAGUAGUACUAGGAUGGGUGACUACCCGGGAAGCCCUAGUAUUUGACAUGCC
rnacentral:rRNA from 1 species